rnacentral:rRNA from 1 species
UCUAAGUAGCGAACGGGUGAGUAAAACAUUGUAAACAUACCUCAUAGUGGGGAAUACAUUAAUGAAAAUUAAUAUAAUACCGCAUAAAAAAUCUAAGGAUAAAAGCGGGGAAAACCUCGCGCUAUGAGAUUGGUCAAUGUCUGAUUAGCAUGUUGGUUUUUGGGUUAAAAGCCCACCAAAGCUUUGAUCAGUAGCUAUUCUUUGCGGAAGUAUAGCCACAUUGGGAUUGAGAUAAGGCCCAA